rnacentral:rRNA from 1 species
AGUGAACGCUGGCGGCGUGCUUAACACAUGCAAGUCGAACGAGAACGGAUUAUAGCUUGCUAUAAUUGUCAGCUAAGUGGCGCACGGGUGAGUAAUGUAUAGGUAAUAUGCCUCUUACUAAGGGAUAACAAAUGGAAACGUUUGCUAAUACCUUAUACUCCUUAUUAACCUCAGUUAAUAAGGGAAAGAUUUAUUGGUAAGAGAUUAGCCUGUAUUGUAUCAGUUAGUUGGUGGGGUAAUGGCUUACCAAGACUAUGACACAUAACUGGUUUGAGAGGAUGAUCAGUCACACUGGAACUGAGACACGGUCCAGACUCCUACGGGAGGCAGCAGUGGGGAAUAUUGCACAAUGGACGAAAGUCUGAUGCAGCAACGCCGCGUGGAGGAUGACACAUUUCGGUGCGUAAACUCCUCUUAUAUGAGAAGAUAAUGACGGUAUUAUAUGAAUAAGCACCGGCUAACUCCGUGCCAGCAGCCGCCGCGG